UCAGAGCGAACGCUGGCGGCAGGCCUAACACAUGCAAGUCGAACGAACUCUUCGGAGUUAGUGGCGGACGGGUGAGUAACACGUGGGAACGUGCCUUUAGGUUCGGAAUAACUCAGGGAAACUUGUGCUAAUACCGAAUGUGCCCUUCGGGGGAAAGAUUUAUCGCCUUUAGAGCGGCCCGCGUCUGAUUAGCUAGUUGGUGAGGUAAAGGCUCACCAAGGCGACGAUCAGUAGCUGGUCUGAGAGGAUGAUCAGCCACAUUGGGACUGAGACACGGCCCAAACUCCUACGGGAGGCAGCAGUGGGGAAUCUUGCGCAAUGGGCGAAAGCCUGACGCAGCCAUGCCGCGUGAAUGAUGAAGGUCUUAGGAUUGUAAAAUUCUUCACCGGGACGAUAAUGACAGUACCCUUGUAAGAUUU
rnacentral:rRNA from 1 species